rnacentral:rRNA from 1 species
CGGGUGAGUAACGCGUGAGGAACCUGCCUCAAAGAGGGGACGAACAGUUGGAAACGACUGCUAAUACCGCAUAAGCCCACGGCUCGGCAUCGAGCAGAGGGAAAAGGAGUGAUCCGCUUUGAGAUGGCCUCGCGUCCGAUUAGCUGUUGGUGAGGUAACGGCCCACCAAGGCGACGAUCGGUAGCCGGACUGAGAGGUUGAACGGCCACAUUGGGACUGAGACACGGCCCAG